rnacentral:rRNA from 1 species
GUGGGGAAUAUUGGUCAAUGGGCGGGAGCCUGAACCAGCCAAGUCGCGUGAAGGAAGAAGGAUCUAUGGUUCGUAAACUUCUUUUGCAGGGGAAUAAAGUGCAGGACGUGUCCUGUUUUGUAUGUACCCUGAGAAUAAGGAUCGGCUAACUCCGUGCCAGCAGCCGCGGUAAUACGGAGGAUCCGAGCGUUAUCCGGAUUUAUUGGGUUUAAAGGGUGCGUAGGUGGUUUGAUAAGUCAGCGGUGAAAGUUUGCAGCUUAACUGUAAAAUUGCCGUUGAAACUGUCGAUCUUGAGUGCAAAUGAGGUAAGCGGAAUGUGUUGUGUAGCGGUGAAAUGCUUAGAUAUAACACAGAACACCGAUUGCGAAGGCAGCUUACUGGGAUGCAACUGACGCUCAUGCACGAAAGCGUGGGGAUCAAACAGGAUUAGAUACCCUGGUAGUCC